GGAUUCCCCUAGUAACUGCGAGUGAAGCGGGAAAAGCUCAAAUUUGAAAUCUGGCAGUCUUUUUUUUCUUCUUUGGCUGUCCGAGUUGUAAUCUAGAGAAGUGCUUACCUGCACUGGACCAUGUAUAAGUCUCCUGGAAUGGAGCGUCACAGAGGGUGAGAAUCCCGUCUUUGACAUGGACUGCCAGUGUGUUGUGGUGUGCUCUCAAAGAGUCGAGUUGUUUGGGAAUGCAGCUCUAAAUGGGUGGUAAACUCCAUCUAAAGCUAAAUAUUGGCGAGAGACCGAUAGUGAACAAGUACCGUGAGGGAAAGAUGAAAAGGACUUUGGAAAGAGAGUUAAACAGUAUGUGAAAUUGUUGAAAGGGAAACGCUUGAAGUCAGUUAUGUUGGCUAGGGAUCAACCUAGCUAUUUUUUGCUGGGUGAAUUUCCUANUCUGACAGGCCAACAUCAGUCUUGACUGCUGGAAAAGAGCAAAGGGAAUGUGGCACCUUUGGGUGUGUUAUAGCCCUUUGUCAUAUGUAGCAGUUGUGACUGAGGGAUGCAGCGUGCCAUGAGGCUGGGUUUCGACCACUAUCACGCUUAGGAUGUUGGCUUUUAAUGGCUUCAAUCGACCCGUCUUGAAACACGGACCAAGGAGUCUAACAUGCCUGCGAGUGUUUGGGUGGAAAACCCUUGUGCACAUGAAAGUGAAAGUUGAGAUCCCUUUCGGGGGGAGCAUSGACSCCCGGCCYUGAGCUUUUAGCAAUGGAUCCGCGGUAGAGCAUGCAUGUUGGGACCCGAAAGAUGGUGAACUAUGCCUGAAUAGGGCAAAGCCAGAGGAAACUCUGGUGGAGGCUCGUAGCGAUUCUGACGUGCAAAUCGAUCGUCAAAUUUGGGUAUAGGGGCGAAAGACUAAUCGAACCAUCUAGUAGCUGGUUCCUGCCGAAGUUUCCCUCAGGAUAGCAGAAGCUCAUUAUCAGAUUUAUGUGGUAAAGCGAAUGAUUAGAGGCCUUGGGGUUGAAACAACCUUAACCUAUUCUCAAACUUUAAAUAUGUAAGAACGAGCUGUCACUYGAUYUGGACU
rnacentral:rRNA from 1 species